AGAGUCUUAGGAUAAUUCUCAGACCAAGGGCCUUCAAAGCCCUCAGUGGGAGUGGAAAUCUCCCAGACUCUG
rnacentral:tRNA from 1 species